CAAACAAGCUGUCUGGAGGCCCCCUCACACCUUUCCUCACUAGUUCCGCUGUGAUGUUCAGCUUUGCAGCAGUUCUGUUGUGAAAGGGGCCACCAGAAUGAAGACACUUACCUCAGCUGGAGCAAAGCAGUCUGACAGCUGAGUUGACUCCACCUCUGCAACUUCAAGCCUGUUYGUGGGAACUGAUGCAGAGAAUAACUUA